CCGUGCUAGACGGGGAGCCAGCGGUGCCCUGUAACCCACAACCCGCUCCAGUGGGGUCGAAUUCCUUGCCGAGGCCGAACUUUUUCCGGCAGCAGCCGGACAAGGGGGCGUUGACGGCUGGGGCCCUGCGCGAAGAGCCUCCUGCAAACCCCGCCAGGACCGGAAGGUAGCAACGGUAGCAGGCCGGUUUCUUGUGCGGCAGUCAGCCUCGCCCGAGCCGCCUGUCCGGUGGACGCGGGGAAAGGGCUGUCAGAGCAAGGUGCACGG
rnacentral:SRP_RNA from 1 species